rnacentral:lncRNA from 1 species
CACAUCCCCAGACCUUUUUAUGUUUUAUUUUGAGACAGAGUCUCGCUAACUUGUUUAAGCCCUCACUAAGUUGCUGAGGCUGGCUUUGAACUUGCAAUCUUCCUGUCUCAGUCUCCCAAGCUGCUGGAAUUAUAGGCAUGUGCCACUGUGCCCACCCCGAAUGAUGCUCUUGUCUCAUCUCAUCCCAGUCAAUGCUCUUUACAAUGAGAGGCGUCAGGGAAGGGAUGAUAAGAAGGCUUCCCAAUCCUCUAAGUCUUCUUCCAGUGUAUCUCCAUCCUGAUUGAUGAUCUGAGUUUCCUAAUCAGGGUAUUAGCAUUAGAGAGUAGCAAAUAACAGCUUGUGAAGUUCAGUAAGGCACAUAAUUAUCUAAUUCCUGGUAACCCUAGGUCAAGAAGAAACUGAUAUUCUUCUCCAAGCUAAAUGCAUAUUCUGUUUUCUCCUAACUUCAUGCAGACUACCAUUUUUGAAUUACUCGUCUUGUCAUCUUGACUAUUUAUUUCUGUAUCUUCAAGUGCUCCAGCUCCAGUUGGCACAGAAUCUAAGACAAGGGACAGCGGGAAGUAGUUCAACUAAUUGCUUUGCUACAACAUGAAAAGGACUUUCAGAUCUCAGACUGGUAUUAGAAGAUCCUAACAGUAGAGACCCUCUACACAACUCAUCUUAGUUCCUCAUUGUAAGAUCUGUCAUUCAGAAUACUUCAGUACCCAAUUUCUAUGGUGCUGCAAGUCAGAGAAACCUAACUUAAACUAGCUUAGGCAAAAGCACUUAUUUUCAAAAAACUAGUGUUUUGUGCCCAAGAACAUGGUAGAACUUGAGAAAACUGGAUCUGAGAACUUGC